AGUGAACGCUGGCGGUAGGCCUAACACAUGCAAGUCGAACGGCAGCACAGUAAGAGCUUGCUCUUACGGGUGGCGAGUGGCGGACGGGUGAGGAAUACAUCUGAAUCUACUUUUUCGCGGGGGAUAACGUAGGGAAACUUACGCUAAUACCGCAUACGACCUACGGGUGAAAGCAGGGGAUCUUCGGACCUUGCGCGAUUGAAUGAGCCGAUGUCGGAUUAGCUAGUUGGCGGGGUAAAGGCCCACCAAGGCGACGAUCCGUAGCUGGUCUGAGAGGAUGAUCCGGCAAACUGGAACUGAGACACGGUCCAGACUCCUACGGGAGGCAGCAGUGGGGAAUAUUGGACAAUGGGCGCAAGCCUGAUCCAGCCAUACCGCGUGGGUGAAGAAGGCCUUCGGGUUGUAAGGCCCUUUUGUUGGGAAAGAAAAGCAGCAGGUUAAUACCCCGCUGUUCUGACGGUACCCAAAGAAUAAGCACCGGCUAACUUCGUG
rnacentral:rRNA from 1 species